rnacentral:ncRNA from 1 species
UUCCUAUCCUCAUGAAGAAAUUUGUCUAACUUCUUCUAAGAUAGAUAUAUUAAAGAAUUCUCAGUUCAAGCACGGGGAGGUAGUGACGAGAAAUAACAAUAUGGACCUCUCUAAUGAUGGUCCAUAAUUGGAAUGAGUUGAGUAUAAAUCCUUCAGCAAGGAUCAAGUGGAGGGCAAGUCUGGUGCCAGCAGCCGCGGUAAUUCCAGCUCCACUAGCGUAUAUUAAAGUUGUUGCGGUUAAAACGUUCGAAGUUGAUCCUCCAUCCAGACUCGCGACCGCCGCGGGCGCCCGGUUACACGCCGGGACCGUUCGUGAGUGUGUUCGCGGCUGCGAUUCACAAUGGUGUGCCUGGGCGUUCCAGCCUUUACACUAAAUAACGUUUUUUAUUUCUAAAUAAUUGCAAUAACUUAAUAAAUUACGUCCAAAUGUUAGUUUCAAAGUGCAGAAGGGAAGUUACAAACUGUUUCGUUUAAUUUAAACUGUGUGUAUACGUGAUUCAAAUCAAAAUUACUUUCUGUUGUAAAUAUUAACUUUUUAGACUGCAUUUAUACAGAUUAUAU